rnacentral:rRNA from 1 species
UACAGAGGGUGCAAACGUUGCUCGGAAUCAUUGGGCGUAAAGCGCGUGUAGGCGGCUCGUUAAGUCGGUUGUGAAAACCCAUGGCUCAACCAUGGAAGGGCGUCCGAAACUGGCGAGCUAGAGUCCCGACGAGGAUGGCGGAAUUCCCAGUGUAGAGGUGAAAUUCGUAGAUAUUGGGAGGAACACCGGUGGCGAAGGCGGCCAUCUGGGAGGGCACUGACGCUGAGACGCGAAAGCGUGGGGAGCAAACAGG